CUCCUAUUUCUUUGGUAUUGUCAGAAGACAAGAUACAGUUCCUAGGUGUUGGGGAAGAGGGAGUAUAGGUCAUAGACUUCCUCUAAGUACUGAGUGACCAAUUUAAAUGUUUCCCUUUUUAAAUUAUUUAAAAAUGAAUCAAAUUACAUCCUGUGCUGUACACAGCCCUUUUGACCCCUGACAUUGAUUAGAGGAAGGCAGACAAUGGUGUCAGCAUUGGAGGGGCCGCCUCACUUUCUUCUGCCAUUUAGGUUUGGCUUCUUGGGUACUGUACUGUUGGGCUUGGAGGGGCCGCCUCACUUUCUUCUGCCAUUUAGGUUUGGCUUCUCCCUUGGGUACUGUACUGUUGGGCUUGGAGGUCGCAGUGGCCCCAGGUCCAGGGUGAGGUGCUGCAAAGAAGUUCCCAUUGGACAUCUGGCCGUGGGCUACUUGAAAAAUCCAGCUCAAGAAAUCCUGUAGGUCAGCAGGAGGGGUCUCUGGCAUGGCCCUCGGCAGACCACUACUGCCCGGUACCUGAGAACCAAAUGAGAUGUGAUAAGGAACUCUGGGUAUCUGGAGAGAUUCCCACAUUCUGACAUCCCUCCCACUCUGUGAUAUCAUAGACCUUUCCAUCCAUCAGUGCAAAAUAGGUGACCUUAAGGCAUAACAUGCUUGACUCUGCCCAAAAGUCUCCCUCCUCAGCAGGAUGCAGCCUGUUACACUCAGCACAGCAUCUAGCACUCUUAGGUUCCCCCGUACAUUUCAAACCUCCUAUGCUUUCCUUGGCAUCGGCUGCACAUCAUAGUAUUCAUUGCCCCUUGAGGUCAUCUUGUAGCUUCGAAGGAAACUCAUCCACUGACCGGCUCAGCUCAUUCACUGCCAUUUGUUUCAUCUCAUAUCCUGCCGACUCUCUGGGUUGCUGACAAUGUCCCAAGCUGCCCACAAAACUUUGAAGGCUUCCUCAGCCUUGGGAUGAGUUUUAUCAGGAUGAACCAUCUGUUCUAGCUGCCUAUAGGCCUUCUUUAGCUCCUUAUCUGAUGUUGUGGCUUCAACCCCCAGCACACGAAAAGGGAUCAGUUCAUCUUCAGGGACCCUGGCCAUGAUCAAAAGUCGGGCCACUUCCUCUUCUGGGUAGC
rnacentral:lncRNA from 1 species